GUGUUUGCUGUGACAGCACAUGUACUCAAAUUGGAAUAAUAUAUAGAAGAUUAGCAUGGCACCUGUGCAAAGAUGACAUGCAAAUUCUUGAGACAUUCCAUAUUUUU
ensembl:snRNA U6 U6 spliceosomal RNA